GGUGAGAUGGCCGAGCGGUCUAAGGCGCUAGCUUAAGGUGUCAGUACCGUCAGGUACGAUUCACUACAAAUCGCUAGUCCGAAAGGGCGUGGGUUCAAAUCCCACUCUCAUCA
rnacentral:tRNA from 1 species